CCCGAUUGCAGCGUACUCUCCGGAGUGACGGGUACACUGUGGGGACCGCCGCUGCUAAAGCGGAGGAAGGAAUGGGCAACGGUAGGUCAGUAUGCCCCGAAUAUCCCGGGCUACACGCGAGCUACAAUGGUUGGUACAAUGGGUAUCUACCCCGAAAGGGGAUGGAAAUCUCCUAAAGCCAAUCUUAGUUCGGAUUGAGGGCUGCAACUCGCCCUCAUGAAGCUGGAAUCCGUAGUAAUCGCGUUUCAACAGAACGCGGUGAAUACGUCCCUGCACCUUGCACAA
rnacentral:rRNA from 1 species